rnacentral:lncRNA from 10 species
CCAGUCGUUCACCUCCUGCUCUGCAGCCCAGUUCCUGACAGUCCACGGACCAGUACCAUCCCGAGCCCUGGGGCUGGGGUCCCCUGCCACAGAGUAUCCACCUGUGCUUGUUAUAGAACUGCUUUCAACUAUGUAUCUGACCUCUGGAUACCAGCAAAUUGAGGUGUGGACAGCUGAUGUCACAGUGUCUCCUAUACAUUAAGAGCUAAACUGCAACACGGAGCUGUGAAGUGCUGCAAGGAAAGGUUGAUCCCUGUUAGAGUUUCUUGACCCAAAGGCCUUGGAAAAUAGGACAGCCUGGGAGUGGGUGGCACUGCCCACGACAGCCUGCAAACCCACGAGCAGCGCCCUCGGCCGCCACAGAAUUGACUUGGUUCUGCAGUCCUGUGAGGCACAGUUGACAAAAUCCAGGAGAGAGGUAAGAAAGAGGACAGGGCAGAACAGAGGGGUAUUCCUGAACCCUCAGGACCUGCGGACCAUUGGAUCGAAUGGAGAGUUGGUGGGAUGGAGCCUGGCUGAGCUCAGGAUGGCCUGGGCAGUCCCCGAGAUAUGGAGGGGAAGAGGCUGCGGACAGACAUAGAGGAACAAAUAGGCUGGUUUAGGGCCAUUGGGAAUGAGAGUUUUCCUUCCCAGAGCUUUGUCUCAAAGAAAAGAAAAUCUGCUCACUAAUUAAGGAAUUGUGAGUCUUUUUCAUAUCUUGUCUAAGCAUGUGAUUUACUGACUUUAGUCACGAAUAUUGGUAAGUGCCAAACUGAAGAAAACUUGUCAUUCUUUACCACUCAUAGUUGGCAUGAAAAAUUAAAAAAAUCUAUUUAUCUGUCAUAAGAUAAAUUUUAUGACAUUCAUAAUGAUGAAUUCUCCCUGCAAUCUGCAGAGCCUCCCACCUGCCUGCCCUGCCUCUCCCUGGUGUUGGGGGAUAAGCCUCCCUGGCCAGGCUCUGCCUCCAGCCUGCCCUCACUGCUGUGGCUUCCUGCAGGGACUCAGGAAACACCUUCUCUCCCUCAUACCCGCCCUCCUGUAGGAAACUGUCCUUCACCUCCACUCUGUAUUCUUCAAAUUUCCAACUCUUCAGCAGGCUUAGAAUUCUUUCUUUUCAACUUUCCUAUGUUAAAAAAUGUUAUCACUG